UACGAGGGGGGCAAGUGUUGUUCGGAUUUACUGGGCGUAAAGCGCACGUAGGCGGGUUGUUAAGUCAGGGGUGAAAUCCUGGAGCUCAACUCCAGAACUGCCUUUGAUACUGGCAACCUAGAGUCCGGAAGAGGUGAGUGGAACUCCUAGUGUAGAGGUGGAAUUCGUAGAUAUCAGGAAGAACACCAGUGGCGAAGGCGGCUCACUGGUCCGGUACUGACGCUGAGGUGCGAAAGCGUGGGGAGCAAACAGG
rnacentral:rRNA from 1 species